rnacentral:rRNA from 1 species
UACGUAGGUCCCGAGCGUUGUCCGGAUUUAUUGGGUUUAAAGGGUGCGUAGGCGGACUGUCAAGUCAGCGGUAAAAUUGAGAGGCUCAACCUCUUCCCGCCGUUGAAACUGGUGGUCUUGAGUGGAUGAGAAGUACGCGGAAUGCGUGGUGUAGCGGUGAAAUGCAUAGAUAUCACGCAGAACUCCGAUUGCGAAGGCAGCGUACCGGCAUCCAACUGACGCUGAGGCACGAAAGCGUGGGGAUCAAACAGG